CUAAAUGGAAAAAUAUUUCACUACUAAUUCAAUUUCUUUAUUGGUUAAAGGACUACUCAGACUGUCUUCUCUUCUUGGUCAGUUUUUGACUCAGGUGGGAAUGCUGCAGAAGAUGCUGUGCUGUUUUCCAUGAUGACCUCAGGAAGCACCUCUGUGUUAACUCAUCCCACCCCUGGUGAUGCCACCCUCAAUCAUCUGGCAAGUUUUUACAAGAUAUCGAGUAUAGUUCCCUGUGCCAAACAGUCCUGUUGGUUGGGAAUCUUGGUCCUAGCAAUGUGUUUAUUUGGACAGAAUCCUCUCACAG